rnacentral:rRNA from 1 species
CCUACGGGAGGCAGCAGUAGGGAAUCUUCCACAAUGGGCGAAAGCCUGAUGGAGCAACGCCGCGUGGGUGAAGAAGGUCUUCGGAUCGUAAAACCCUGUUGUUAGAGAAGAAAGUGCGUGAGAGUAACUGUUCACGUUUCGACGAUAUCUAACCAGAAAGCCACGGCUAACUACGUGCCAGCCGCCGCGGUAAAACGUAGGUGGCAAGCGUUAUCCGGAUUUAUUGGGCGUAAAGGGAACGCAGGCGGUUUUUUAAGUCUGAUGUGAAAGCGUUCGGCUUAACCGGAGUAGUGCAUUGGAAACUGGCAGACUUGAGUGCAGAAGAGGAGAGUGGAACUCGAGGUGUAGCGGUGAAAUGCGUAGAUAUCUGGAAGAACACCAGUGGCGAAAGCGGCCCUCUGGUCUGCAACUGACGCUGAGGUUCGAAAGCGUGGGUAGCAAACAGGAUUAGAUACCCCUGUAGUC